rnacentral:rRNA from 1 species
UACGUAGGGCGCAAGCGUUGUCCGGAAUUAUUGGGCGUAAAGAGCUCGUAGGCGGUCUGUUACGUCCGCUGUGAAAACCCAGGGCUUAACCCUGAGCUUGCGGUCGAUACGGGCAUGACUGGAGUUCGGCAGGGGAGACUGGAAUUCCUGGUGUAGCGGUGAAAUGCGCAGAUAUCAGGAGGAACACCGGUGGCGAAGGCGGGUCUCUGGGCCGAUACUGACGCUGAGGAGCGAAAGCGUGGGGAGCGAACAGG